CUGCCAUCCUUCAAUCCCAAAA
rnacentral:piRNA from 1 species